UCCCUGAUGGUCCAGUGGUUAGGACUCGGUGCUUUCGCUGCCGGGGCUCCGGGUUCAAUCCCUGGUCGGGGAA